UUAAGUUCAGCGGGUAGUCCUACUCGAUUUGAGGUCAAGUUGUCAGAGAGUGUCCGAAGACGGUUCGAAGCACAGAGCUCCCGAUCGGCCACCCUCGAGUGAGGCGCCGGCGAAGAUACUUAUCACGCCGUACUAUGUCCAACCAAGAGUUGCACUAAGCCAUUUGAGGUAAGCCACGGUAAAGCAGCAAACCCAAGUCC
rnacentral:misc_RNA from 1 species